rnacentral:lncRNA from 1 species
AAGAGACUGUGGAUUCAGACUGACUAGAUGUGCUGACAGAGCUCAAAGGAAUUGUGAUGAGGGAACCCUCAGAAGAAACUGUAGAUUCAGACUGAACAGAAGUAAAAGUGGAGCUCCCAGGGGCUGUGGUAUGGGCACCCUGGGAAGAGACUGUGGAUUCAAACCAACCAGAUGUGGUGGUUAAGCUCCCAGAGACUGUUGAAUGGAAACCCUCAGAAGAGAUUGUGGAUGUUGACUGAACAGAAGGAGUGGAGGAACUCCCAAGCCCUGUCGUGAGGGAGCCCUCUGAAGUGACAGUGAAUUCAGACUGUCCAGAUGUGGUGUGCAAAUUCUCAGAAGAGACGGCGGAUAAAGUGAGAUCAGAGGUGGGAGUGGAACUCCAAGGGACUGUGGUGAGGGAACCCACAGAAGAGAAUGCAGAUUCAGGCAAACCAGUAGUAGUGGUGGAGCUCCAAGGGACUGUGGUGUGGGAACCCUCAGAAGAGACUGUGGGUUCAGAAAGAAUGGAUAUGGUGGUGGAGCUUCCAGAAUCUGUGGUGGGAGAAGCCUCAGAAGAGACUGUGGGUUCAGAAAGAAUGGAUAUGGUGGUGGAGCUUCCAGAAUCUGUGGUGGGAGAAGCCUCAGAUGAUACUGUGGAUUUAGAGGGACCAGAUGUGGUGGGGGAACUCUCAGGAGACAGGGUGGAUUCUGACAGAACUGAUGAGGUGGUGAAGCUUCCAGGGUUUGUGGUGGGGGAAUCCUCAGAAGAAACUGUAGAUUUAGACAGAACUGAUGUGGUGGUAGAGCUUCCAGAAACUGUGGUGGGAGAAGCCUCAGAAGAGACUGUGGAUUCAGGCAGAACUGAUACAGUAGUGGAGCUUCCAGAACCUGUGGUGGGAGAAGCCUCAGAAGAGACUGUGGAUUCAGACUGAUCAGAUGUGGUGUGGGAACUCUCAGAAGACACUGUGGAUUCUGACAGAACUGAUACGGUAGUGGAACUUCCAGAACCUGUGGUGGGGGAAGCCUCAGGAGAGACUGUGGAUUCAGUCUGACCAGAUGUGGUGUGGGAAGUCUCAGAAGAAACUGUGGAUUCUGACACAACUGAUGUGGUAGUUGAGCUUCCAGUGACUCUCGUGAGGGAACCCUCAGAAGAGACUGUGGAUUCAGACUGAACGGAUGUGGUGUGGGAACCCCCAGGAGAGACUAUGGAUUCAGACUGACCAGAUGAGGUGAUGGAACUCCCAUGGACUGUGGUGUGGGAACCCUCAAAAGAGAGUGUGGGUUCAGACUGACUAGAUGUGGUAUGUGAACCUCCAGAAGAGACUAUGGAUUCAGACUGACCAGAUGAGGUGAUGGAACUCCCAUGGACUGUGGUGUGGGAACCCUCAGAAGAG